GCGCGGGGGGAGCGAGCAGGGGCGACGAGAAGCGAGGCGGGGCAGGGAGGUGAGGCCGGCAGGCCAGAGACUCGGGAGCCACAGGAAGAGCCCAGAGAGCGAAAGCGGGUUUCGGGGACCGGGCAGGGCGCAGAGCCGAGCAGCCGAGCCGCAGGCGCAAGCACUCCCACUGUGGCUAGGACGAUAGGAGGGGAGGCCGGGAUGCAGAAGAGAAAAGGAAUCUGCGCCGAACCGGGAGCUCUAAUAAAUCAGAGAGAUUAAGAGUCGCUUCUAGCAGAACGACCUCCCUUCAUCUGGUGGCGGGGAUGAAGAAUCUCAUGGAAAAGUGGGAAAAGAGUGAGAAAAAUCAGAGACAGGAAGAUUCAGAGACUUGCAGAGAGACAAGGGAAAGAGAAAGGGCCAGCGCUGGAGAGACGCGCAGAUAAACGCGUGCAACACCCCCGCCCCCCCUUUCAAGAUUCGGAGGUGACAACUGUUAGAACAAGAAUCAAGUUGUGAAGCAUAGGGACGACAUACAAUUUUGUGAGCAAAGCGGACAACACCGAGGACUCUCACCCAAAAGUCAGGAUUUGGGAAAGUUUGAACGUGUGUGCAAAUGCACCCACAGUGUCUCCACCUACAUUCUUUACCAAACUGUGAAGAGAGAGGAAGGAACAAAUGAAGUAGGUUAGGAUAUGGAUUGCGUCAGGAAUCCGAAUCCCCAGUUUUAGGAUUCCUCAGUCAGCUCUGGCCAUCUUCUGCACUGAAUCAUUGUAAGUGGGAGGCCCACAGGAACCAAAACAGGUAUAUUUAGUGUGUUUCCCAAGCCUGACUUCCAAGAAACUGAAAUCACUGGCUCACUGGAAGAUGUUUAAAUGUCUUGGAAGAAAAUGCUGGAAUAAUCCUGGAAUAAGCGUGGUUUUCCAUCAUUGUCCUUAUCUGAGUGUAAAUGUACUUUUUUCUUGUGAAGUCACAUAUGGCAACAUUUUUUUUUUUUUGCUGGAAUAUGUGAAAGAGCCCCUUUCUUGAAUGCAAUUUAUGAAUGAAAGCAAUAGGAUUUCUUAGUUAUUUUCUUUUUUGACAUUUGUUUUCCUUAUUCUCCCCUGAAGUAUCUAGUCUUUUUUUUCAA